UACGGAGGACCCGAGCGUUAUCCGGAUUUAUUGGGUUUAAAGGGUGCGUAGGCUGUUUAUUAAGUUAGAGGUGAAAGCUCGAUGCUCAACAUCGAAAUUGCCUCUGAUACUGGUAGACUAGAGUAUAGUUGCGGAUGGCGGAAUGUGUGGUGUAGCGGUGAAAUGCUUAGAUAUCACACAGAACACCGAUUGCGAAGGCAGCUGUCCAGCUAUUACUGACGCUGAGGCACGAAAGCGUGGGGAGCGAACAGGG
rnacentral:rRNA from 1 species